rnacentral:rRNA from 1 species
ACGCUCGACACCUACGAGAGGCAGCAGUGGGGAAUAUUGCACAAUGGGGGAAACCCUGAUGCAGCGACGCCGCGUGAAGGAAGAAGUAUUUCGGUAUGUAAACUUCUAUCAGCAGGGAAGAAAAUGACGGUACCUGAGUAAGAAGCACCGGCUAAAUACGUGCCGGCAGCCGCGGUAAUCUGAGCGGGCUGGCAAGGC